AGAGUUUGAUCCUGGCUCAGGACGAACGCUGGCGGCGCGCCUAACACAUGCAAGUCGAACGAGCGAGAGAGAGCUUGCUUUCUCAAGCGAGUGGCGAACGGGUGAGUAACGCGUGAGGAACCUGCCUCAAAGAGGGGGACAACAGUUGGAAACGACUGCUAAUACCGCAUAAGCCCACAGCUCGGCAUCGAGCAGAGGGAAAAGGAGUGAUCCGCUUUGAGAUGGCCUCGCGUCCGAUUAGCUAGUUGGUGAGGUAACGGCCCACCAAGGCAACGAUCGGUAGCCGGACUGAGAGGUUGAACGGCCACAUUGGGACUGAGACACGGCCCAGACUCCUACGGGAGGCAGCAGUGGGGAAUAUUGCACAAUGGGGGAAACCCUGAUGCAGCGACGCCGCGUGGAGGAAGAAGGUCUUCGGAUUGUAAACUCCUGUUGUUGAGGAAGAUAAUGACGGUACUCAACAAGGAAGCGACGGCUAACUACGUGCCAGCAGCCGCGGUAAAACGUAGGUCACAAGCGUUGUCCGGAAUUACUGGGUGUAAAGGGAGCGCAGGCGGGAAAGCAAGUUGGAAGUGAAAUCCAUGGGCUCAACCCAUGAACUGCUUUCAAAACUGUUUUCUUGAGUAGUGCAGAGGUAGGCGGAAUUCCCGGUGUAGCGGUGGAAUGCGUAGAUAUCGGGAGGAACACCAGUGGCGAAGGCGGCCUACUGGGCACCAACUGACGCUGAGGCUCGAAAGUGUGGGUAGCAAACAGGAUUAGAUACCCUGGUAGUCCACACUGUAAACGAUGAUUACUAGGUGUUGGAGGAUUGACCCCUUCAGUGCCGCAGUUAACACAAUAAGUAAUCCACCUGGGGAGUACGACCGCAAGGUUGAAACUCAAAGGAAUUGACGGGGGCCCGCACAAGCAGUGGAGUAUGUGGUUUAAUUCGACGCAACGCGAAGAACCUUACCAAGUCUUGACAUCCCUUGACGAUGCUGGAAACAGUAUUUCUCUUCGGAGCAAGGAGACAGGUGGUGCAUGGUUGUCGUCAGCUCGUGUCGUGAGAUGUUGGGUUAAGUCCCGCAACGAGCGCAACCCUUAUGGUCAGUUACUACGCAAGAGGACUCUGGCCAGACUGCCGUUGACAAAACGGAGGAAGGUGGGGAUGACGUCAAAUCAUCAUGCCCUUUAUGACUUGGGCUACACACGUACUACAAUGGCGUUAAACAAAGAGAAGCGAGACCGCGAGGUGGAGCAAAACUCAGAAACAACGUCCCAGUUCGGACUGCAGGCUGGAACUCGCCUGCACGAAGUCGGAAUUGCUAGUAAUCGCAGAUCAGCAUGCUGCGGUGAAUAAGUUC
rnacentral:rRNA from 1 species